rnacentral:rRNA from 1 species
UAAACGACUCUCGACAACGGAUAUCUCGGCUCUCGCAUCGAUGAAGAACGUAGCGAAAUGCGAUACUUGGUGUGAAUUGCAGAAUCCCGUGAACCAUCGAGUCUUUGAACGCAAGUUGCGCCCGAAGCCUUCAGGCCGAGGGCACGUCUGCCUGGGCGUCACAU